CGUGAGCAACCUGCCCCUGACUCUGGGAUAACUACCGGAAACGGUGGCUAAUACCGGAUAUGACAUGCCUGGGCAUCUGGGUGUGUGGAAAGUUUUUCGGUUGGGGAUGGGCUCGCGGCCUAUCAGCUUGUUGGUGGGGUGAUGGCCUACCAAGGCGACGACGGGUAGCCGGCCUGAGAGGGCGACCGGCCACACUGGGACUGAGACACGGCCCAGACUCCUACGGGAGGCAGCAGUGGGGAAUAUUGCGCAAUGGGCGAAAGCCUGACGCAGCGACGCCGCGUGGGGGAUGAAGGCCUUCGGGUUGUAAACCUCUUUCAGCAGGGAAGAAGCGAGAGUGACGGUACCUGCAGAAGAAGCACCGGCUAACUACGUGCCAGCAGCCGCGGUAAUACGUAGGGUGCAAGCGUUGUCCGGAUUUAUUGGGCGUAAAGAGCUCGUAGGCGGUUUGUCGCGUCUGCUGUGAAAACUCGGGGCUUAACU
rnacentral:rRNA from 1 species